GAUGAACGCUAGCGGCAGGCCUAAUACAUGCAAGUCGGGCGGAUGACGGGAGCUUGCUCCUUGAUUCAGCGGCGGACGGGUGAGUAAUGCCUAGGAAUCUGCCUGGUAGUGGGGGACAACGUUUCGAAAGGAACGCUAAUACCGCAUACUUCCUACGGGAGAAAGCAGGGGAACUUCGGGACUUGCGCUAUCAGAUGAGCCUAGGUCGGAUUAGGUAGUUGGUGGGGUAAUGGCUCACCAAGGCGACGAUCCGUAACUGGUCUGUGAGGAUGAUCAGUCAGACUGGAACUGAGACACGGUCCUGACUCCUACGGAAGGCAGCAGUGGGGAAGAUUGGAGAAUGGGGGAAAGCCUGAUCCAGACAUGCCGCGUGUGUGAAGAAGGUCUUCGGAUUGUAAAGCACUUUAAGUUGGGAGGAAGGGCAGUAAGCUAAUACCUUGCUGUUUUGACGUUACCGACAGAAUAAGCACCGGCUAACUCUGUGCCAGCCGCCGCUGUAA
rnacentral:rRNA from 1 species